CUCGUAAUCACGACUUCAGAAGUUAUCAAAUUUCCGACAGCACAUGAAGGCAGCAUAAGAACACACUAACUUUCUAAAUUAACUGUUCGGAUACAUCGGUCUUAUUCCUUUGUAACUACGUAAAGACUAAAACAUAAACCGCCAAGAAAAUGUACUUUUUUCACAACUUGUAAUACGUUGUACGAGUCUAAAAACUGUUUAACAAACCCCUUCAACUCAUCGUUCAUGGCGCUGAAAAGCCUAUGAAAGUUGUCGUCUUCGUUUUGGCGUUUCACUCACCAUGACAUUAAAUAAACCAAUCACAAGCCUCUGGAGGUUUGUACAGCCCACUUGGAGCUGAAGUCCCACCAAUUUGGAGCUGGCUCCGACCUCAUUUAUACCCAUCUCGUGGACUGACACGGAGGAAAAGGUCCUGACUGCCACCAGUUGAGUCAAUGAUUCAGUGGAGAGACAGUCUGGGCAGCAGCAACAAGGCAACUAUUACAAGUAGAG